CCUACGGGUGGCAGCAGUGAGGAAUCUUGGUCAAUGGGCGCUAGCCUGAACCAGCAAAGUAGCGUGAAGGAUGACUGCCCUAUGGGUUGUAAACUUCUUUUAUAGGGGAAUAAAGUGCAGUAUGUAUACUUCUUUGCAUGUACCUUAUGAAUAAGGAUCGGCUAACUCCGUGCCAGCCGCCGCGGUAAUACGGAGGAUCCGAGGUUUAUCCGGUUUUAUUGGGUUUAAAGGGAGCGUAGGCGGGUUGUUAAGUCAGUUGUGAAAGUUUGCGGCUCAACCGUAAAAUUGCAGUUGAUACUGGCAGCCUUGAGUACAGUAGAGGUAGGCGGAAUUCGUGGUGUAGCGGUGAAAUGCUUAGAUAUCACGAAGAACUCCGAUUGCGAAGGCAGCCUUCUGGACUGUAACUGACGCUGAGGCUCGAAAGUGUGGGUAUCAAACAGGAUUAGAUACCCGUGUAGUC
rnacentral:rRNA from 1 species